rnacentral:tRNA from 1 species
UUAAUUGAAACCAAACCAGAGGUAAAUCACUGUUAAUGAUAUAAUUGAAACUUUUUCCAAUUAAA